CGGAGGGAGCGCGAGGAGGGGGCGGCGGCGGGUCCCACCUGAAGUCCUUGUCGCUGGAUGUCAUUUUCUCCAGCAGGUUGGAGAUGUGUUUCAGUUCACACAGGAGCUGUGAGCCUGCUGAUGGACAGAGGAUAUUGGGAAUGUGCUGCAUCUUUAUCUGUCAGUGUAGAAAGAGCUAUACCACGCAGCUUUACUCAGCUUAAAGGAGUCAAGGCUGCUGAAGCGGCGGCAGUCUCCGGGGUAUUUCCAUUUUCUGGCCGUCCUGCAUGCAGGUGGUGGUACUGAAGAAGGGCUUACCAACAACUGGUCUCCAGCUCAGCACUGAACAUCUUCAUGGAUGUCAACAGCCAUUUGAACAGAAACACCAAUUAAUUUAUAUUGCAAAAAUUCCCACCAUUAGGAUUGAAUCCUGGGGCUUAGAGUCUUUCGACAUGAUAUUGCUCUUUGAUAUAAAUUGUUAACCACAUGUUUAUGUGCUAAAAUUAGUUAACACAGUGUCAUAAGUGUGAGAGUUGUUUCAAUGCAUAUAUUAUU